GAUGAAGAACGUAGCGAAGUGCGAUACUUGGUGUGAAUUGCAGAAUCCCGUGAACCAUCGAGUCUUUGAACGCAAGUUGCGCCCGAAGCCACUAGGCCGAGGGCACGCCUGCCUGGGCGUCACACGCCGUUGCCCCCCCAUCUACUCCUUCGGGAUUGCGGGGGGGCGGAUGAUGGCCUCCCGUGCGCCUAGCCGCGCGGUUGGCAUAAAUACCAAGUCCUCGGCGACGCACGCCACGACAAUCGGUGGUGGCGAAACCUCGGUUGCCCGUCGUGUGCGUUCGUCGCGCAUCGAGGGCUCGAAAAAAUGCUCGGCUCCGGCUGGGCUUUCAACGCGACCCCAGGUCAGGCGGGGUUACCCGCUGAAUUUAAGCAUAUCAAUAAGCGGAGGA
rnacentral:misc_RNA from 1 species